ensembl:lncRNA
AGCUACUGCCCAUCCUGUGAUGCUGAGAAGCUAUAAAAUAUAUUUUCUUACUACCCCCUGGAGAUGACCACUGUCAUGUGAAGCAUUCUCAUCUUAUCCAUCCAAGUACUGUGGGCUGAAACAAGGAUGAAAUACAACAGGACCUAUGAAUAUUUAAAAAAUACAACUCCCUAGAUGGGAGAAAAUACUCAGAUAAGUCAUGUACUUUAUUGCAAGACUGGAAGAUGUCAGUCCUAUGAGAAGACCAGAUAGUGUAUUAUUUCCACCCAGAGGAAUUCUCUUGUUUCCAGCUUUCCAUUCUUCCAGAUACCAUCACCAAGGCAGAGAGCAUCCCCCAUGGACUGGGGCUGAUGCCACACUACACUCUUUGCAUGCUUAACAACACUUUGAAGAUGUGAGGUAUAACUCUUACUAUUGUUUUAUUGUUUUGUGAUGGACUUGUGAUACUCAUGUGACCCACUGAUAAGUCACACACUGUGCAAACAGUCAUUCGUAUAUCACCAGAAACACUCUGCAUCACUGAGAGAAAUGAGGGAGGAAUUCAGGCUCAGAAACACAGUCUCCCCUUCAUUUCCUUCUGAAGCACUAUAUCACUGCUCUGGUGAUGAUCACUCCUCCUGUGUAGACUUCUUUAAGAAAUUGUUCUGUAUCUUAGAUAUAGUUUCUAUGGUAACUGUGUAGUUUUUUUUGUUUGUUUGUUUGUUUGUUUUUUAACUUAGUGGACAGUUUGGGGAUGGAGGGAAGAGGGUUUGAAUGUGACAUUGGGAAUGUAGUGAUUAAAUAAGCUGGAAAAACAAAGUAUUCUGUAUUUGAUAUAUUUAUCAGUAAACUGAAAUAGCAGUUGAAGAGAGCAUCAGUCUCCCUACCUGGCCUAUAAGACAAGCAGCUCAGACCUGCCGGAACUGUAGAGGAAAGCAAAGAAGAAGAAGCCCAAAGCAAGUCCAGCCACUGCUAAAAUUUUGCAGCUAGCAGUCUUUUAGAACUGGAUGCUUUUUACAGGGCCUGCAGCUUUCAUUGUUUCCUCCUGCCAAAGUUCUGACAGAGAAGAGUAUUCAGCAAAGGUUACAACAACAGAGUGUUAUU